rnacentral:rRNA from 1 species
CAGUCGCCACGGGAAUACGAGGGGGGCAAGCGUUGUUCGGAAUUAUUGGGCGUAAAGGGUGCGUAGGCGGUCUGAUAAGUCAUCUGUGAAAUCUAUGGGCUCAACCCAUAGUCUGCAGGCGAAACUGUCGGGCUUGAGUAUUGGAGAGGUGAGUGGAAUUUCCGGUGUAGCGGUGAAAUGCGUAGAUAUCGGAAGGAACACCUGUGGCGAAAGCGGCUCACUGGACAAUUACUGACGCUGAUGCACGAAAGCUAGGGGAGCAAACAGGAUUAGAUACCCCAGUAGUCCCUGUCUCUUAUAC